UUAAAGAUCAUUAAUGAAAAGGUCCUAAAACACCCAUCUACCCUGACAUUUCCUUAAAGAUCAUUAAUGAAAAGGUCCUAAAACACCCAUCUACCCUGACAUUUCCUUAAAGAUCAUUAACGAAAAGGUCCUAAAACACCCAUCUACCCUGACAUUUCCUUAAAGAUCAUUAACGAAAAGGUCCUAAAACACCCAUCUACCCUGACAUUUCCUUAAAGAUCAUUAAUGAAAAGGUCCUAAAACACCCAUCUACCCUGACAUUUCCUUAAAGAUCAUUAACGAAAAGGUCCUAAAACACCCAUCUACCCUGACAUUUCCUUAAAGAUCAUUAACGAAAAGGUCCUAAAACACUCAUCUACCCUGACAUUUCCUUAAAGAUCAUUAAUGAAAAGGUCCUAAAACACCCAUCUACCCUGACAUUUCCUUAAAGAUCAUUAACGAAAAGGUCCUAAAACACCCAUCUACCCUGACAUUUCCUUAAAGAUCAUUAAUGAAAAGGUCCUAAAACACCCAUCUACCCUGACAUUUCCUUAAAGAUCAUUAAUGAAAAGGUCCUAAAA